rnacentral:rRNA from 1 species
GUGGCGAGCGAACGCGGAAGAGCCUAAACCGUCGGGUUUACCCGGCGGGGUUGUGGGGCGUCUCACACGGAGUUACAAAAGACGCGCGUAGGUGAACAGCUUGGGAAAGCUGACCAUAGAGCGUGAUAGUCGCGUAACCUAAACGCGCGUCUCUCCGAGACCAACCCCGAGUAGCGCGGGACACGUGAAAUCCCGUGUGAAUCUGGCAGGACCAUCUGCUAAGGCUAAAUACUACCUAGCGACCGAUAGUGAACCAGUACCGUGAGGGAAAGGUGAAAAGCACCCCGGGAGGGGAGUGAAAUAGUACCUGAAACCGUGUGCUUACAAAUAGUCGGAGCCCGUUAAAAGGGUGACGGCGUGCCUUUUGUAGAAUGAACCGGCGAGUUACGGUAGCGUGCGAGGUUAAGUUGAAGAGACGGAGCCGCAGCGAAAGCGAGUCUGAAUAGGGCGAUAGUACGCUGCCGUAGACCCGAAACCGUGUGAUCUAGCCAUGUCCAGGGUGAAGGUAGGGUAACACCUACUGGAGGCCCGAACCCACGCACGUUGAAAAGUGCGGGGAUGAGGUGUGGCUAGCGGUGAAAUUCCAAUCGAACUCGGAGAUAGCUGGUUCUCCCCGAAAUAGCUUUAGGGCUAGCCUCGGAAUUUAGAGUCUUGGAGGUAGAGCACUGAUUGGGCUAGGGGCCCUCAUCGGGUUACCGAACUCAGUCAAACUCCGAAUGCCAAUGACUUAUGUCCGGGAGUCAGACGGUGAGUGCUAAGAUCCAUCGUCAAAAGGGAAACAGCCCAGACCAUCAGCUAAGGUCCCCAAGUAUACGUUAAGUGGGAAACGAUGUGGAGUUGCCCAGACAACCAGGAUGUUGGCUUAGAAGCAGCCACCAUUUAAAGAGUGCGUAAUAGCUCACUGGUCGAGUGACUCUGCGCGGAAAAUGUAACGGGGCUAAACGUAUCACCGAAGCUAUGGCAGUCCUUACGGACUGGGUAGGGGAGCGUUCCAAGCAGCAGUGAAGCCGUACUGGAAAGAGCGGUGGAGCGCUUGGAAGUGAGAAUGCCGGUGUAAG